AAACUCUAAUUACUAUCUGUUUCUCUCUUUCUUUCUUCGUCUCCUCCGAAGAACACCUCUCCUCUCCUCCACAGAUGACCGUCGGCGCUCUAUCACCACAGCUGCUCUUCUCUCAAUCCCUCUUCUUCAUCUCCAUUUCUUGAUUGAAACGACCCAUCUUAGUUCUCAUCUGCAAUUUCGGGUGAAACUCAUCAAUCGAAUACCUCAGAUCCAGCUUCUACAAACCCUAAAUCAAACGAAACCCAACUUCGAUUCGUAAUCUGACACCGAUUUCUUCUUUCACUGAUUCAAUCUCAGAACCCCUUUCAAUUCUUCAUUCAACAUCUAACCUAGCCAUAAGAAUCAUACCUCUCCUUCUAUGAACAUCGAAUCAACAACAAAAAAUUCAUUAUCUUCUCCAUCUCUGAUCAAAGUUUCUUAAUUAUGGGCUCGAUUUGUGGAAUUGGUGUUGCUGCUGCUAGAAAUCAAGAUGAAUGGUGAAUUACAGUUAGGGCUUGAACAAGGAAUUGGAGAUGAAGAUUUUGACUGAACUGUAGGUGGAAUUGAUUACAGAAAAGAAGGAAUUGAAAUGGGUGAUGUCGGCUGACUAGAGAAGAACUAAAGGGUUCUGUAUGUGAUUCGAAUGCUUAGAUUAUUGGAAGAAGAAUUGUUAAGUGGGUUGAGCAGGUUGUGAAAUGAAGAGUAUGGUUGUAUGUGUUGGUGGUGUGUGGUUUGGUAAAGCUUGAGACGCUGGUAAUGAAGUUGUAAUAUGGGAGAUGGCUUGUGCUGAGACAGAUGGUGGAGUUUUCCGUGGUGAUUGUACUGGAUGAACAUGGCAGAAUGGCGAAAUCAGUUGCAGAUGCAAUUGCAAUAAACAAGGUGGUGGCUGGAAGCCAAGAAUGGAGUUAGCUGAGUUGUGGGUUUUGUCUUUGCCCUCUCUCAGCUUAUCUGAAAUCACCAAUAAUACCGUGAAUUGGGGGUUUUGUCUUUGCCCUAUUAGGAAAGGCAACAACAAGUAAAGUCAGUGUAAGUUUUUAUACUUUUCCUUUCACUUAUUUAUUCUGCUUUUGAUUAUAUUGUUUUGGUUUCUCUAAGCAAGGGGGAAGGUCUGAAAUGGAAUUAGGGUUGAUUGAGAAGAACACAGAUGGGAGAUAUGAUUGUUGGUGGUUGUUUCUUAGAUAUUGAGAAGGGGUUUUUGAAGAUGAGCUUGAGUUGUUGUGGAAUUGAAUUCUUAAGGUACAAACUAGUGAUGGUUCUGGUGGUGAUGAAUUUGUGAGUACGAGCUAACAGGUCCAAGAGAUGGAUUUGGUUGCUUCUCAUGGAAGACAAGAAGAUGAAUGGAUGUUGGUGCUAAUGUUGCAGAAUGGUUUGAAUUGCAGCAUCUGUCAGGGCAUCCCGGUGUUGUGGCAUUGACUGCAGUGUAUGAGGAUACUGAGUCAUUUCAUCUUUUGAUGGAAUUGUGUUCUGGUGGGAGGUUACACAUUGACAGGGAAAUUGUGGAGGUCGGUUCUGAUGAAAUUGUGGAGGUCGGUUCUGGAUGACGGUUCUGGCAGCAAGAACUUGGAAUCCGCAGAGACUCAGGAUGGAAGGAAUAUGGUGGAGGAGGGGAUGAUUAUUGAUACUCCACAAAUGGAGAUAACUCCAGUGAUUGAUGAUGAUUCUGCACCAAUACAGAUGGUGCCUCCUUCACUAUUCCCUAAUCCACAUUUAGAUGAUGAUCUACAACUAGAGGCAACAAUUCCACUCACUGAACUUGAACCCCAACCACCAGAGAUUGAUUUGGCAUCUUUUUUUUUGCCACCGAUCAGGUGUUUGAAUCGCAUGAAGCAAUAAUACAGUGGUGUCAAGAGGUCGGUAAGAAGCAUAACAUGAUACUUGUCAUUACAAAGUCGAUGAAAACAUUGACUGGAAAGGGGUCGAAACGGGCUGCUAAUGUGCUGAAAGAAAGGCAGUAUUCCGAGCAACGGGCUACUAAUGUGCUGAAAGAGUUGAUGUUGGUGAUUAAGUAUUGUCAUGAAAUGGGUGUGGUUUAUCGAGAUAUAAAGCCUGAGAAUAUACUCCUCAUGGCAGCAGGGAAGAUGAAGCUUGCGGAUUUUGGAUUAGCAUGAGGGUUUCACAUGGCAUUUGCGGUUGAGAGAUACUUUCCUUUUGAGUUUCUGUGUCAUUAAGAUAUUUUGGAUUAGCCAUGAGGGUUUUAAGACACCCAUAAAUGCACUUUGUCUCAAUAGUGACUCAAAUACCUGUAAUCAUGUUUCAUCAGCAUCAGUAGAUAGUAGUUCAGAUCAGAAGUCAGAAGAACAGGAUGAGUGUGGUUUGGUCUAAUGCACUUGCAGUGGCAAUCUCACGUGUGAGUUUGAGCAAUGUCAUAUUGCAAUUGGAGAUGGGAAUGAAGCAAGUUCAGGUAACAGAUGGAAUAUGGAGUUUGUUGUGGUUGUCGGUAAGCUCACGGGAAUUGAGAAAGUUCAGGAAGUUAUGUUGCAGCUGAAACUGGUGAAUUGAGCAAGUUUAGGGAAUGCUUGAUUUUGGCUUGCUGGUUAGCUACGCUGCACAUAAUUGGAAAUCUGAUCUUCCGUAGUAACAAACAAUAGUGAUUAUAAUUGGAAAUCUGAUCUUCUUUUCAAAUACAUGGUUAUUAAAGUAUUACAGAUUUAAUUUUGUAUUUAAAUUCUCAAAAGAAAUUUCUUUUUCCAAA